AUUGAACGCUGGCGGCAGGCCUAACACAUGCAAGUCGAACGAGUGGCGGACGGGUGAGUAAUGUCUGGGAAACUGCCUGAUGGAGGGGGAUAACUACUGGAAACGGUAGCUACUACCGCAUACCAUCGGAUGUGCCCAGAUGGGAUUAGCUAGUAGGUGGGGUAAAGGCUCACCUAGGAGACGAUCCCUAGCUGGUCUGAGAGGAUGACCGGCCACACUGGAACUGAGACACGGCCCAGACGCCUACGGGAGGCAGCAGUGGGGAAUAUUGGGCAAUGGGCGCAAGCCUGAUGCAGCCAUGCCGCGUGAGUGAAGAAGGCCUUCGGGUUGUAAAGCACUUUCGUCGGGGAGGCGUUACCCGCAGAGGAAGCACCGGCUAACUCCGUGCCAGCAGCCGCGGUAAUAC
rnacentral:rRNA from 1 species